rnacentral:rRNA from 1 species
ACGUAGGUGGCAAGCGUUAUCCGGAUUUACUGGGUGUAAAGGGCGCGUAGGCGGGCCUUUAAGUCGGAUGUGAAAUUCCCGGGCUUAACUCGGGCGGGUCAUUUGAAACUGCAAAUCUUGAGUACUGGAGAGGAUAGUGGAAUUCCUAGUGUAGCGGUAAAAUGCGUAGAUAUUAGGAAGAACACCAGUGGCGAAGGCGGCUAUCUGGACAGUAACUGACGCUGAGGCGCGAAAGCGUGGGGAGCAAACAG